ACAACUGAAUGAACAUCCUCCGAGGCCGGUGAUUUCAUAAUUAUUGCCAGGGGUUGUACUUGAAUGAUCCCUUGACACUUUGUAUUACUGGUUUGUGGAGUGGCUCUUGUUUGUUUUGGGUACUCCAUGGUAUACAGGUACUGGAUUGUAAGCGUUGUUUUGUCACCUUAGAUAGUACCGACAACCUGCUUGGACUGUGGACUACUUCACAAAUAGGUGAACUCUUUGAGACGUGUGGCACAUCCUACCCAUCUGAAGUAUUUCAAACAGCCACUGGGGCCUUUUUUUUUUUUUUUGCAAUUACAGUUUGUUGGGGGGUCGGAUGCACACACAGACACGCCCUCCGUUCACCUCAAUGCCUCCCUCGCUGUUUCCUCCUCCCUUCUCUCCCUGUGGUUUUACGUGAUUGUUUUUUUUUUUUUCUUUUUUUUCAUCUCACAGUGUAAUUUCUGUGUUGUAGAUACAAACACAUACCGGUUGCAUCCUUUGUAGAAUUCUGUGGUUGCGGAAUGUCUUGUUUGCCAUGUUUGAGACCGUAUUUUCUAGAGAAGUAUUUUCAUUUUUUGCCUCUCUCGUUUUUGUUUUUAAAGGAAGAAACUAUUUAGCAUGCUUUUUAUUGAGAAUAUGUGUACUCUAAUCAUAAUAAAGAAAGUUUGGAUGACUGCUGUGGUUACAGAAAGCGGAGGGUUUUGGGGAGUUGCCCUUCUUCUUGUUUAUGUUCUUCUCCACUAUCUGUUUCUCAUGUGUAAAAUGACCACCAGACCCAUUUGACUGGGGACCCAGGGGGACACAGGUGUAGCUGCUGCCCCAGCUUUGCUCUCUUUGGUCGGGGUCACCGGGCCACCUGGAACGGCCGCCGUGCGUGAGCGUGACGGCAUGAGCCACGGGGACAGCUUUUCGUGUGGCGCCACAGCAGUGGGAUUUGCUCUCUCUGUCUUCACCAUCAAGGUAAUUAAAACAAAACAAAAAAAAAGCACUGACCUCUUCCCACCUGCCGCCCCUCCUUUGACUGUGCCUUGACCAAACACUCCUCUCUUUCACCAUCACCCCUGCACUCCGUCACCCCCUCCUCUGCUGCCGUGGCAGUGGCACACCUACAGCCGUGGGCUUCUCCUCGGUGGGGGGUGGCGGGCAGGGUGGAGCAGGGCUGGGACCCCCUCCACAAGUCCAAAUCCUGUCUCGCAUCUGCAUACAAGGUGACUGACUGUGGCCUUUCUGUCUCAUUGGUGUCUGAGCGUGUGAGUAAAUGGAGUCACAGCAAAAGGUGCUGGAAUGUGUGUUGGAUAAAGAUGGAGACAGCAUGGAUGUCUGGGGAAAAAAGUUUUUAUUGAUUUAUUUUUGCUGGUCUUUUAAAGUUUGGCACACAUGGCCACUCACACCCUUUCCCCUGUCCAUGAGUCCACCCCUUUCCACCGCCGUAUUCGCCGCCCUCACCCUUCCCUUCCUCCCUACUUUGCUCCUUCUCAAUCCCACCCCAUUCCCACUGGCCCUUUGCGCCUCUCCUUUCCGCCGUUCACACACAAACACACAGCGCUUUUCCCGCCGCCACCGCCGUCUCCACUUUGGAUCUGGGUUCGUGGCUCUGGCUUGGACGCAGCUUCCCAGAACCACCCACCUGGCCCAACCCACUCCUUUGCUACAGAUAGAGGGCGUGCCAAGGGACAAUGUAUGUGUGAUGGCUCGCCGCCGGACUCAAAGACACUUCAGUGUUGGACGAGUGGCUUUGCUAAACUUUCGAGUGCUGGAUUUGCUCCACACAGCUGUGAAAGGGAUCUAAACCCAGUCUCACUUCAGUUUCAAAAUCGUAUUAAUAUAACAUAACUCAACCUCAUCCUGUUGGGGUUAUCAAUGUUUAUUUUCUAAACUCUGGGUCCCUCACAGCCAGUGUUCCUGUCAGAAAUGUCCUAUAAGAUGGUCCUCUGAGGCCAGUCUAACCUGUAGAUUCUCAUUAAUCUCAGGGUUCCUAUAGGACUUUUCUGGCACGGCAGCUCUCUCUAAUCCUGGGAUCAGCUGGACUGGUUUGUGAUGUCCUGAGUGAUUUGUAUGUCUAUUUCCUGUUAAUCUCAUCCCACACUUAUAGUAGGCCUUGGGCCAGACCCAUGAAAGUGGGUGUGUCACUACCACCCAGGGUGGCAAAGCUUUCGAAAUGGCAUUUUGGUCACUUAUCUAUAAGAACAUGA